rnacentral:misc_RNA from 1 species
AACGCACAUUGCGCCCCUGGGUAUUCCUGGGGGCAUGCCUGUUCGAGCGUCAUUUCAACCCUCAAGCGUAGCUUGGUCUUGGGCCAUGCCGGGAACGGCCGGCCUUAAAACUAGUGGCGGUGCCGCCGGGCUCUACGCGUAGUAAUUAUGUCUCGCGUCUGGGUCCCGGUGGACGCUGGCCAGCAACCCCAAUAUUUUUUCUGGUUGACCUCGGAUCAGGUAGGGAUACCCGCUGAACUUAA